rnacentral:sRNA from 1 species
GGGGCAGUGGCAGUGGCUCCAGCCCUUUCCUGGACCUGACUCCCGAGCCCGGGGCUGCCGUCUACAAGCACGGGGCCCUGGUGCGAAAGGUGCACGCAGACCCUGACUGCAGGAAGACACCUCGGGGCAAGCGGGGCUGGAAGAGCUUCCACGGGAUCCUCAAGGGCAUGAUCCUCUACCUGCAGAAGGAGGAGUACAAGCCUGGGAAGGCCCUUUCAGAGACGGAGCUCAAGAAUGCCAUCAGCAUCCACCAUGCCCUGGCCACUCGUGCCAGUGACUACAGCAAGAGGCCCCACGUCUUCUACCUGCGCACAGCUGACUGGCGGGUCUUCCUCUUCCAGGCCCCGUGAGUGCCCUCCUCCUGUCCAUCCCGGACCUCCCAUCCUGCUCCCCUCCCUGUCCCUGGAUUUCUUCAUUCCUUCUCAGGCCACACUUGAGCCAGGACUGGCAUCCUGGGACAGAAACCCUGGGCCUAGGUCCCAAGGGGCUGUGCUUUCUCCCCAGGAGCCUGGAGCAGAUGCAGUCCUGGAUCACUCGCAUCAAUGUAGUAGCCGCUAUGUUCUCUGCGCCCCCCUUCCCAGCUGCUG